rnacentral:rRNA from 1 species
GCAUAUCAAUAAGCGGAGGAAAAGAAAAUAACAAUGAUUCCCCUAGUAACUGCGAGUGAAGAGGGACAAGCUCAAAUUUUAAAUCUGUCGGGUUCUACCUGACCGAGUUGUAAUUUGAAGAGGCGUUUUCUGUGUUUCUGAUCAGUCCAAGUCCUUUGGGAUAAGGCAUCACGGAGGGUGAGAAUCCCGUUCGGUUGAUCAGAUUCGCUUUACGAUACGCUUUCAAAGAGUCAAGUUGUUUGGGAUUGCAGCUUAAAAUGGGAGGUAAAUUUCUCCUAAGGCUAAAUAACGGCGAGAGACCGAUAGCGAACAAGUACCGUGAGGGAAAGAUGAAAAGAACUUUGAAAAGAGAGUUAAAUAGUACGUGAAAUUAUUGAAAGGGAAACGAUUGAAGCCAGUCGUACCUGCGGGUAAUCAGCCUUUCGGGUAUGAUUCUGUGGAGCGUGAGGAGUUAAACGCCUUCAUGCCUGCAUAUUCGUGCUCUUGGGUGUACUUGCUCGUGUGGUUGGUUAACAUCAAUUUCGGAUAUCAUAAAAUGGCUGGAGGAAUGUAGCUUCGAUUUCGAUUGAAGUGUUAUAGCCUUCGGCAGAUGUGAUGAUCGGGAUUGAGGAUUGCAACGGAUACCCUUCGGGGCUACCUGUCUGAUCUCUGAUCGUUGCUUUGGUGCCGAAAGCGUGCUUACGGUUAUCAAAGUCGAUGGUUAAUAGGUUAGAACGGGUUAAAUUCGUUAAGGAUGUUGACGUA